AAGUCGUAACAAGGUUUCCGUAGGUGAACCUGCGGAAGGAUCAUUAACAAAUGUUUUCAACCACAACCACAUUUAUGUGAACUGUUAGAACCGGGCACCAAUAUGCUCGGUUCGCAAACCCACGUCUAAAAUUAUUUACUGAACUUUGUAUGAAAAUAUAAAGACAACUUUUAGCAACGGAUCUCUAGGCUCUC
rnacentral:misc_RNA from 1 species